rnacentral:rRNA from 1 species
CAGCCGCCGCGGUAAUACAGAGGGUGCAAGCGUUAAUCGGAAUUACUGGGCGUAAAGCGUGCGCAGGCGGUUAUAUAAGACAGAUGUGAAAUCCCCGGGCUCAACCUGGGAACUGCAUUUGUGACUGUAUAGCUAGAGUACGGCAGAGGGGGAUGGAAUUCCGCGUGUAGCAGUGAAAUGCGUAGAUAUGCGGAGGAACACCGAUGGCGAAGGCAAUCCCCUGGGCCUGUACUGACGCUCAUGCACGAAAGCGUGGGGAGCAAACAGGAUUAGAUACCCCCGUAGUCCCUGUCUCUUAUAC